UUUCCGUAGGUGAACCUGCGGAAGGAUCAUUAUUGUAUAACCGAGGUGCGAGGGCUGUCGCUGACCCGAAAGGACGUGCACGCCCGAGUGCCCUCACACACAUCCAUCUCACCCCUAUGUGCACCACCGCGUGAGUCCCCCUUUGGCUUGUUCGGAGGGGGGCUUACGUUUUCACACAAACUUUGUAUGCAGUGUAGAAUGUAUUUUUUGUUUUUGCGAUCACGCAAUCAAUACAACUUUCAACAACGGAUCUCUUGGCUCUC
rnacentral:misc_RNA from 1 species